rnacentral:lncRNA from 1 species
AGAGAAGAAAAGACACCAUCACUCCCAAUCUCCAUCCCCGAGGCAGAAUAAUGGGGGUCGACAUCGUCGAUCCCGCAAUCCUCCUAGAAAGAUUCAAAAACCAUCACCUCCUUGGCUGUACGAUAGCUGCACACCCCUGAAUGUUCCUCAGAGGAAGGUGUUGUUACAAGUAGAACCUAAGUUACUUGAGCCUCGACUGAUGAGAAUA